rnacentral:rRNA from 1 species
UACGAAGGGGGCUAGCGUUGCUCGGAAUCACUGGGCGUAAAGGGUGCGUAGGCGGGUUUUUAAGUCAGGGGUGAAAUCCUGGAGCUCAACUCCAGAACUGCCUUUGAUACUGGUAGUCUCGAGUCCGGAAGAGGUGAGUGGAAUUCCGAGUGUAGAGGUGAAAUUCGUAGAUAUUCGGAGGAACACCAGUGGCGAAGGCGGCUCACUGGUCCGGUACUGACGCUGAGGUGCGAAAGCGUGGGGAGCAAACAGG